AAAAGAGGGAUAUCGGCCAAAAACGCCACGUUGUGUGGCAAGACAGAUGUGACAAACAUCGUGUUUG
rnacentral:sRNA from 1 species